rnacentral:rRNA from 1 species
CCUGUUUAUCAAAAACAUCGCCUCUUGACAAAUCAUAAGAGGUCCAGCCUGCCCAGUGAUAAAAUUCAACGGCCGCGGUAUCCUAACCGCGCGAAGGUAGCAUAAUCACUUGUUCUUUAAAUAGGGACUAGUAUCAACGGCACCACGAGGGUUGCACUGUCUCCUCUCUCUAAUCAGUGAAACUGAUCUCCCCGUGAAGAAGCGGGGAUAAAACCAUAAGACGAGAAGACCCCAUGGAGCUUUAAACCUCAAGGCAACUCUGACACAUAAUUCACCAUAAUCAACAGAGCUGUGCAAGUCGGUUUUAGGUUGGGGCGACCGCGGAGUAAAAAUUAACCUCCACGACGAAAAGAACUAGAUCUUUAUCUGAGAGCCACCCCUCUAAGAAUUAGUAAACUAACGAAAAAUGACCCGAUUAUCGAUCAACGGACCAAGUUACCCUGGGGAUAACAGCGCAAUCUACUUCAAGAGCCCAUAUCGACAAGUAGGCUUACGACCUCGAUGUUGGAUCAGGGUAUCCCAGUGGUGCAGCCGCUACUAAAGGUUCGUUUGUUCAACGAUUAAAACCCUACGUGAUC